UUAUUACUCCCUCCGUCCCAAAAUUAUUGUCUUAGAUUUGUCUAAAUACGGAUGUAUCUAGUUACGUUUUAGUGCUAGAUAGAUCCAUAUCUAGACAAAUUUAAGACAAGAAUUUUGGGACGAAGGGAUUAUUAG
rfam:Triticum aestivum genome assembly, contig: Triticum_aestivum_CS42_TGACv1_scaffold_458985_5DS